rnacentral:tRNA from 1 species
GCCUGGCUGGCUCAGUUGGUAGAGCAUGGGGCUCUUGAUCUCAGGGUCAUGGGGUCGAGCCCCACGUGUGGCA